UACGAAGGGGGCUAGCGUUGCUCGGAAUCACUGGGCGUAAAGGGUGCGUAGGCGGGUCUUUUAAGUCAGGGGUGAAAUCCUGGAGCUCAACUCCAGAACUGCCUUUGAUACUGAAGAUCUUGAGUUCGGGAGAGGUGAGUGGAACUGCGAAGUGUAGAGGUGAAAUUCGUAGAUAUUCGCAAGAACACCAGUGGCGAAGGCGGCUCACUGGCCCGAUACUGACGCUGAGGCACGAAAGCGUGGGGAGCAAACAGG
rnacentral:rRNA from 1 species